rnacentral:rRNA from 1 species
UACGUAGGGGGCAAGCGUUGUCCGGAAUCAUUGGGCGUAAAGCGCGCGUAGGCGGCCCGGUAAGUCCGUUGUGAAAGUCAAAGGCUCAACCUUUGAAUGCCGAUGGAUACUGCCGGGCUGGAGUCCGGAAGAGGCGAGUGGAAUUCCUGGUGUAGCGGUGGAAUGCGCAGAUAUCAGGAAGAACACCAAUGGCGAAGGCAGCUCUCUGGGACGGUACUGACACUGAGACGCGAAAGCGUGGGGAGCGAACAGG